rnacentral:rRNA from 1 species
AUUGAACGCUGGCGGCAGGCCUAACACAUGCAAGUCGAGCGGAUGAAGGGAGCUUGCUCCUGGAUUCAGCGGCGGACGGGUGAGUAAUGCCUAGGAAUCUGCCUGGUAGUGGGGGAUAACGUCCGGAAACGGGCGCUAAUACCGCAUACGUCCUGAGGGAGAAAGUGGGGGAUCUUCGGACCUCACGCUAUCAGAUGAGCCUAGGUCGGAUUAGCUAGUUGGUGGGGUAAAGGCCUACCAAGGCGACGAUCCGUAACUGGUCUGAGAGGAUGAUCAGUCACACUGGAAGUGAGACACGGUCCAGACUCCUAAGGGAGGCAGCAGUGGGGAAUAUUGGACAAUGGGCGAAAGCCUGAUCCAGCCAUGCCGCGUGUGUGAAGAAGGUCUUCGGAUUGUAAAGCACUUUAAGUUGGGAGGAAGGGCAGUAAGUUAAUACCUUGCUGUUUUGACGUUACCAACAGAAUAAGCACCGGCUAACUUCGUG